GAAAAUACAAUAAAGCCCUUGAAGGCUUAAGAUGUAGGAAUAAUUAAAUGAAGGGUAUUGUAGUAAUUGUAUAAAUACAUAAUAUAUAUAAAUAGAAAAAAAAAAAACAAGAGAUCUGAAAAUUUAGAGUAAAAAAAAAAACUGACGGGAGAGAGAAGGGAGAAAGAGGAAGAAGAAGAAGAAGAGAAAAGAGGGGAAAAUAAGGGAAAAAGGAAAGGAGUUGGAGGAAAUAAAUAAAAAGGGAUAAUCCUGAUAUUCUACCGGCGGGACGUCAGUAGGAUUUUUCUUCGAUAUCAGCUUUGAGUUUUAUUGCUUUCAAGUCAGGCUUAUAGCUUGAUAGCAGGUCAUUUUGUUGGACCUUCAGAACCUGCUCUUUUGGUA